GUUGAACGCUAGCGGCAUGCUUUACACAUGCAAGUCGAACGAGUGGCGGACGGGUGAGUAAUAUAUUGGAACGUGCCUAGUAGAGGGGUCAAACUACGAGAAAGAGUGGCUAAUACCGCAUACUGUUGGAGCGGCCGAUGUGGGAUUAGCUAGUUGGGGGGGUAAAGGCUGACCAAGGCAACGAUCCGUAGCUGGUAUGAGAGGAAGACCAGCCACACUGGGACGGAGACACGGCCCAGACUCCUACGUGAGGCAGCAGUGGGGAAUUUUGGACAAUGGGGGAAAGCCUGAUCCAGCCAUCCCGCGUGUAUGAGAAGGCCUUCGGGUUGUAAAGUACUGUUGGCAGAGAAGCGGUAUCUGCAGAAUAAGCACCGGCUAACUACGUGCCAGCAGCCGCGGUAAUAC
rnacentral:rRNA from 1 species